rnacentral:rRNA from 1 species
AGAGUUUGAUCCUGGCUCAGGAUGAACGCUAGCGGCAGGCCUAACACAUGCAAGUCGAGCGGUAGGGACCUUCGGGUCCUGAGAGCGGCGCACGGGUGCGUAACGCGUAUGCAACCUGCCCUGUACAGGGGAAUAGCCCGUCGAAAGGCGGAUUAAUGCCCCAUGGCCCUUGGGGGUGGCAUCGCCACCAAGGUAAAGAUUUAUCGGUACAGGAUGGGCAUGCGUGCCAUUAGCUGGACGGUGGGGUAACGGCCCACCGUGGCGACGAUGGCUGGGGGUUCUGAGAGGAAGGCCCCCCACACUGGGACUGAGACACGGCCCAGACUCCUACGGGAGGCAGCAGUGAGGAAUAUUGGUCAAUGGGCGGAAGCCUGAACCAGCCAUGCCGCGUGCGGGAAGAAGGCGCUACGCGUCGUAAACCGCUUUUGUCCGGGGGUAACCGUAGGGACGUGUCCCUACCUGCAAGUACCGGACGAAUAAGGGUCGGCUAACUCCGUGCCAGCAGCCGCGGUAAUACGGAGGAUGCAAGCGUUAUCCGGAUUCAUUGGGUUUAAAGGGUGCGCAGGCGGAGCGAUAAGUCAGUGGUGAAAUCCUACGGCUCAACUGUAGAACUGCCAUUGAUACUGUCAUUCUUGAGUACUGUUGAGGUGGGCGGAAUGUGUCAUGUAGCGGUGAAAUGCUUAGAUAUGACACAGAACACCGAUCGCGAAGGCAGCUCACCAAGCAGAAACUGACGCUCAUGCACGAAAGCGUGGGGAUCAAACAGGAUUAGAUACCCUGGUAGUCC